GCAUAGGUAGCUCAAUUGGUAGAGCACACGAUUCUUAAUCUCAGGGUUGUGGGUUUGAGUCCCUCAUUGGGCA